UUUAAAGAGAGUUUGAUCCUGGCUCAGGACGAACGCUGGCGGCGUGCCUAAUACAUGCAAGUCGAACGAACGGAGGAAGAGCUUGCUCUUCCAAUGUUAGUGGCGGACGGGUGAGUAACACGUGGGCAACCUGCCUGUAAGUUGGGGAUAACUCCGGGAAACCGGGGCUAAUACCGAAUGAUAAGAUGUGGCGCAUGCCACGCCUUUGAAAGAUGGUUUCGGCUAUCGCUUACAGAUGGGCCCGCGGUGCAUUAGCUAGUUGGUAGGGUAAUGGCCUACCAAGGCAACGAUGCAUAGCCGACCUGAGAGGGUGAUCGGCCACACUGGGACUGAGACACGGCCCAGACUCCUACGGGAGGCAGCAGUAGGGAAUCUUCCGCAAUGGACGAAAGUCUGACGGAGCAACGCCGCGUGUAUGAAGAAGGUUUUCGGAUCGUAAAGUACUGUUGUUAGAGAAGAACAAGGAUAAGAGUAACUGCUUGUCCCUUGACGGUAUCUAACCAGAAAGCCACGGCUAACUACGUGCCAGCAGCCGCGGUAAUACGUAGGUGGCAAGCGUUGUCCGGAUUUAUUGGGCGUAAAGCGCGCGCAGGCGGUCUUUUAAGUCUGAUGUGAAAGCCCCCGGCUUAACCGGGGAGGGUCAUUGGAAACUGGAAGACUGGAGUGCAGAAGAGGAGAGUGGAAUUCCACGUGUAGCGGUGAAAUGCGUAGAUAUGUGGAGGAACACCAGUGGCGAAGGCGACUCUCUGGUCUGUAACUGACGCUGAGGCGCGAAAGCGUGGGGAGCAAACAGGAU
rnacentral:rRNA from 1 species